ACUAACGAAAGCAGAUGUCAAAAUAGAGUUGUUUGUCACGCGAGUGGAAAAAUAUCAAGACCAGCAGACACUCCAGACAGGUUAUAUAAGCCAGACACAGACAACAGAGUUUGAGAUUCCUCGGGUAUGUACUGUAUGUGCAUGCGAGCGUGGCUCCCGGAUCGCGAUCUGUGCAAAGAAUAAAGCGCUGACUUACAACCACCCUUCGCCUCACAUGUGCGUCUCUUUCCUCAUCAAUGGACUCGGCUGAGACAGGCUGCAACAAUUUAGGAGCUCGUCUGGGAUAAGGAGGAGGUUGACCUGAUUGGAUUCUGAGACGAGGUCUUGAGGACUCGGACAGCCAUGGGAGCCCAACAAUAAGGUCCAGGAGGCGAAACCAGAAGGCCGGCAGGCCAAGCCCCAUACAGCAGAGUGAGUCCUCCUGAAGAUCAUGAAGAGGAAGUGGUCAGAGCCCAGGUGGACUGGUCCCUUCCAAGUCACCAAGAGGACCUCCUAUGCAGUAUGAUUGAAAGGCAAAGGAGACACAUGGUUCCAUUGGAGCCAGUGUGCAGCGGUGGCAGAGCGCAGCAGAUCCCUCACCGAGAUCAAGGACGGCCUCACCAACAGCGCAGAACAACCCGGUUCUGCUGAACCGGCAGCAACUCAGGUCCCAGCAGCAGGGCAGAAUAAUCCCCUGACCUGAGGCAACCAGCAGGGUAGUCUACCCCUGUCUGGCAAGGAAGACCAGAGACACCUAAUCUGACGCAGAACAUCAGGACCAGGAUAAAGAAAAUCAAGAUGAAAAGGGGGACUGUGGGGGGAAAACAAGUUAUAUGUGGAAUGUGUAAUAUGAUUAGCGUGUUGAUGCUUUUGCUGCAUUCCACUACCCAAGCAAGGACAAGGGGAGGUACCAGGUGUGAGGAAAGAUGGGGAGGGCUGCUAUUACAAUACAUGCAAGGAAUGAGCACCACUUUCCUUUUAGAUCUUUGCGACGUGAUCGAUUGCGGGGGUCAAAACGCUUCAUACAGGGGGUAUGACAUCUGGCUGUGUGAUACCCCAGGAUUCAAUGAGAGAUGUCAGAAAGGUCUGAGAGGGGGAUCAUCUAUUUGCUCAGGAUGGGACCAGGUGGCCAAGUACUAUGGAAUAUUAUUUAGCACUAUAUAACAUAGAAUAUAAGUAUUAUGAUAUUAUUAAGAAGUAUGCCAAAUAUCCAUGAUGUAAUCAUUACAAUGUAAACAUUAUAAUGUAAUCAACUGAGUAUGUAUUUGCACCUUUUGUUAUUCUGAGUUUCUUUUAGCUACUUUAUGUUAGUCCUGAAUCUAUGAAUAUUCACUUUUAUUAACAUAUAUUUUAUCACUAUGUUAAAGCACAAAUAUAUUAUCAACCUUCUAGUUAGACAAUGUGCAACAGGCUGAAACUGCCAGGGUUACUACUGAAGGAAGGGAUUUGCUUGAGUUCAUCAGAAGUUCACGGCUGAGCAUUUUUAAAAAACCAAGUAGAGCUGAUCGCGCCACCAUUAUGUUCAGCCGAGGGACCAAACGGUAAAAGAAAUGACUGACAAACUUAUCACCUAGGGGUGUGGAUUAAGGGAAAAAACAAUGAUUGUGAAUGGCUGAAGGAAUGAUGAUGCAUAAGUGACAAGAUAUUGAUAAAUGAUAAGAACUUAUAUAAAAAUUGGUGUAAAACAGUACUGGACACACUUUACGUGUCCGGUCUUGGUUGUAACUUCAUUGUUGCAAUAAAGAAUGAAUUCUGGAUACUAGAAAA